rnacentral:tRNA from 1 species
GUAAAUAUAGGUUUAACUAAAACAUUAGAUUGUGAAUCUAACUAUAGAAGCCCACCACUUCUUAUUUACC